UCAGCGGCGGACGGGUGAGUAACACGUGGGUAACCUGCCUGUAAGACUGGGAUAACUCCGGGAAACCGGGGCUAAUACCGGAUGCUUGAUUGAACCGCAUGGUUCAAUCAUAAAAGGUGGCUUUUAGCUACCACUUACAGAUGGACCCGCGGCGCAUUAGCUAGUUGGUGAGGUAACGGCUCACCAAGGCGACGAUGCGUAGCCGACCUGAGAGGGUGAUCGGCCACACUGGGACUGAGACACGGCCCAGACUCCUACGGGAGGCAGCAGUAGGGAAUCUUCCGCAAUGGACGAAAGUCUGACGGAGCAACGCCGCGUGAGUGAUGAAGGUUUUCGGAUCGUAAAACUCUGUUGUUAGGGAAGAACAAGUACCGUUCGAAUAGGGCGGUACCUUGACGGUACCUAACCAGAAAGCCACGGCUAACUACGUGCCAGCAGCCGCGGUAAUACGUAGGUGGCAAGCGUUGUCCGGAAUUAUUGGGCGUAAAGCGCGCGCAGGCGGUUUCUUAAGUCUGAUGUGAAAGCCCCCGGCUCAACCGGGGAGGGUCAUUGGAAACUGGGGAACUUGAGUGCAGAAGAGGAGAGUGGAAUU
rnacentral:rRNA from 2 species